CUCCAAACUCCUAGAAGUCAGAGUUGGACAUUGCACUUCAAAGGAAGAGGAUUCACCUACUUGCACUGCUUUGGUGCACAGAGAAUAGAAAAGGACAUGAAAUACUAACCAGGCUUUCCUAAGCAAGACCAUCUGUAUUUUCCAGCCUUUUUGGCUGAAUGAUGAGAAGUGACAGUCAGCAAGUCUCUGCUGAAAACCCAGCCUGGCCAACCAGCAGAGUGAAUGACAUCGGGAGACACCACACUCUGUGCAUUUGAAGCAGGACAGGACCAUCCCCUGGUAGAAGAGCUUGUUCUCAUCAGUUCAGAAGACCUCAAGAAAGACCUGGUGGAAUGCAGACGUCUCUGGUCCUCCCCAUGAAGCAGAGUUCUGUCAUUUGGAUGUCCAGGAUGCCUAGCACAUCGCAUACACUCAGUCUCUGAAUUUCAAAUAUUCCACCUGUUAGUAAAAACACCACUGACUUCACUCAA